GAUGAAGAACGCAGCGAAAUGCGAUACGUAAUGUGAAUUGCAGAAUUCAGUGAAUCUUCGAAUCUUUGAACGCAUAUUGCGCUCUCUGGUAUUCCGGAGAGCAUGCUUGUUUGAGUAUCAGUAAACACCUCAACUCCCUUUUCUUUUUUGAAAUUGGAGCUGGACUUGAGUGAUCCCAACGCUUUCUUCCAAGAAAGUGGCGGGUUGCUUGAAAUGCAGGUGCAGCUGAACUUUUCUCUGAGCUAUAAGCAUAUCUAUUUAGUCUGCCUAAAAAACAGAUUAUUACCUUUGCUGCAGCUAACAUAAAGGAGACUAGUUCUUGUGCUGACUGAUGCAGGAUUCACAGAGACAGCUUCGGCUGACUUUGUAAACUCGAUCUCAAAUCAAGUAAGACUACCCGCUGAACUUAAGCAUAUCAAUAAGCGGAGGA
rnacentral:misc_RNA from 1 species